rnacentral:rRNA from 1 species
UACGGAGGAUCCAAGCGUUAUCCGGAAUCAUUGGGUUUAAAGGGUCCGUAGGCGGUUUUGUAAGUCAGUGGUGAAAGCCCAUCGCUCAACGGUGGAACGGCCAUUGAUACUGCAAGACUUGAAUACCGUGGAGGUCAGCGGAAUAUGUCAUGUAGCGGUGAAAUGCUUAGAUAUGACAUAGAACACCAAUUGCGAAGGCAGCUGGCUACACGAAUAUUGACACUGAUGCACGAAAGCGUGGGGAUCAAACAGG